UCAGAUUUAUGGCUACCCUGGUGGUCAAGAUAAAAUCUAUAAAUUUAUCAAGGAAAAUGUCGACUAUUCAUGUUAUCCCUGUUUCGAGGUUAUUAUUAGAACCGAUCGUUUUAUCCGUUGCAUCGAUCGUGGUUGGAGAUUCCAACUACAGCUUGAUGGCCGCAUGGUUGUGUUGUGCAACUCCUGUUCGUAUAUGGCGUAUCCACAAAUGUAACUUAGACAUCCUAACACCUCCUUAAUUUUGUUCAUGCAAUUAAAAACUAGAAGUUCUCAUCCUCUCUGUCAAAUUAUAAUUUAACAGUAUAUUUCUCUGAUCACACUAUCGAGCCCCAUCCAAACUGUCACGUACGAAGGGAUCUCAGAGCGGAUCCCUACAACGUACGGCUCGGUCUACCGAAGAGAACCGAUUAGCCUUCCUGGCGUGGGAACCUAGUCUCUAUGACUUAGGUCACGCCUAACAACAAUAAUGCAGCGAAGCACGACAUCAGAAAAUACCACAAAGGAGAAGGAGAAAUACAGAGGAAGAGAACUUUAUUGAAUAAUCACUCAACUGAUUACAAUAAGCUCUCCUGGUCUCUCCAGCUCUACCUGAUACCAACCCCUCUCUUUUGAGGAGCAACCUCCAAUUACAAGUCCCUCACAAACUUCACUUUCCAUGUACAAUAUAAGGAUGAAUCCUAGAUAAGAUAAGAAAACCCCCAUUCCCGCAGGAUUCUGCGCAAUUAGAUGAAACGGCCAAGUUCGUGCCCCAACUGAACUCGGAUUACCACGAAACUGGAUUCGUUGGAUUUGGGACGAAAAAUCCUUCCAGAUGGCACCUUUCCCACUUUGAACGGACUUCUGUAGAGUUUCCAAAAUGCCCCUCAACGUGAGAACGCGUGGAAACAACGUUACAACCACGUUUUCUAACCAUACAUCUUUCAGUUAUGAAAACGUGUUAAAACGUGUCCCUUGCCUUCUGAAGACUUAUGCCACGUACCUCCAUCAGUGGCACACAUUUCCAUGCAUCCCAAUUUUUUGGAUUCAAUCCAUGCUUCGAGAUAGCCCACAACACUGAAUCAGACUUGUUGCAGCAGCUUUCCUCCUAAUGAUGAACCAGCAUGUAUUCUUGCCAAUACACGCAUUGGAGCACGUGCCCUCGGCCCCAUGCUCUUGGGUAUUACUCCUAGAUCUUGCAUACGUUUUCCUAGGUGAUCCUAGGGCCCAUAUUUGGUCUCCAAAUUGCCCAAUCUCUAGAAAGCAUGGUCAGAUCUCGAACCCGUCCAGCAACCCAAUCUGGUUUAUACCUUGAUCCACAUCUGGUCUAGCCCCGAUUCGAGGAGCCGUGACACCCUCCCCCACCUAAGCCAAAGUCGCCCCUGACGAGGCUAGGCGGUACUCAUUGAUGAUGUCCUCGAACUGCCAUAGUUCGUCACCAUACUCCUAGCUUGCUUCUGAAUCUGAUAGUCCUUUCCAUCGGACUAAGUAUUGCACACGGUUACCCUUUUUUCUGUCCGCCUUGCUUUUAGAAAUCUUCUUGGUGUAAUGAACUCGUACGACCACUGGAGCUCGCCCGCUUUGAGCCCGAGAAGGGCCAGUUAUGUCCUCUUUGAACGGUUUCAACAGGGACACGUGGAACACCGGAUGCACUUUCAGCUUGGAAGGCAGCGAUAAUCGGUACGCUGUCUCUCCAAUUCGAUGUGUGAUGAUGAAGGGACCUUCAUACCUCCUCACGAGUGCUUUGUGGUAGCCCGACUUCAAUUUCAUGUGAUGGUAAAGCUUUACCAAUACCCGAUCACCAACCUGAAAUUCAGCUGCCCGCCGCUUUAUGUCAGCCCAUUUCUUCAUCCGUUUGGUCGCCUUCAACAAGAAGACCUGAACCAAAUCUGUAUCCUCUUUCAGAUCCCUCACGAACCUGUAGGCGGUCGGACUACGUCCCAUGUAGUCCGUUGCGAUACUUUUCGGAGUGUCUGGUUGCAGCCCUGUAAUAACCUCAAACGGUGAUUUACCCAUCGACUCCGAUCGCUGUAAGUUGUAGCUGAAUUGGGCUUGGUCCAAGAGUCUCACCCAAUUCCGCUGGUUGGCACUCACAUAGUGCCUCAAAUACAUCUCCAAUAAUGCAUUGGUUNNNNNNNNNNNNNNNNNNNNCUUUUCGGAGUGUCUGGUUGCAGCCCUGUAAUAACCUCAAACGGUGAUUUACCCAUCGACUCCGAUCGCUGUAAGUUGUAGCUGAAUUGGGCUUGGUCCAAGAGUCUCACCCAAUUCCGCUGGUUGGCACUCACAUAGUGCCUCAAAUACAUCUCCAAUAAUGCAUUGGUUCGCUCUGUUUGGCCGUCGGUCUGAGGGUGGAAGGCCGUGGACUCUGUUCAGAACCUCCCCGUGAAGCGAGCAUCACGAUCAGAAACGAUACUCCGCGGUAUCCCCCAAUAUUUCACCACAUAUGUGAAGAACAGUCGCGCCAUGUCCUCCGCAUGGCAAGUAGUAGGUGCUGGAAUGAAGACUCUGUACUUCGAGAAGCGAUCCACCACUACCAUGAUAGAGCUGUUCCUAUCCACCGGAGGUAGUCCGAUGAUGAAGUCCAUGGAGACACUCUCCCACGGAUGCUCUGGUAUAGAUAAUGGUUCUAACCCCGCAGGCCGUCGAUGUUCAACUUUGUCUUGUUGGCAUAGCAGACAAGUGCGAACAUACUCCUCGAUGUCAUCCCGCAUCUUCGGCCAAUAGUAGUUAUGUUCUAUGAGAGCUUGGGUCCGAUGCUCCCUCUGGUGUCCCGCCCGCAUAGAAUCAUGGUGUUCUCGCAACACCUCAUGCCUCAGCCCUGCACCUGAAGGCACAUAGACACGUCGCCCUCGUGUCAAAAUCAGCCCUCUUUCGGUCCAGAAACGGCAUGCCUUGUCGUCUUUGAUGAGUUCACCCAUGGAAGUGGCCCAUGGAUCCUUUUCCAUCUCGGUCUUGACCCUCUUCAUUAUGUUACUUGUUGGUCCGGAAAAGGAAGAAACCGCAGCCAAUUGUACCUUCCUACUCAAGGCAUCAGGGACCGAAUUAAUUCGGCCCGACUUGUACUCAAUGUCGAAAUCGAAUUCAGCGAGAAAUUGUUGUCAUCUUGCCUGCUUGGGGGUGAGCUUUGGCUGGGUUUGAAAGUAGCUUAUGGCCACAUUAUCUGUGCGCACCACAAACUUAGAUCCGAGUAGGUAAUGACGCCAGGUUCGAAGACAGUGCACAAUCGCUGUCAUCUCCUUUUCAUGAACUGUAUACCUGCACUCGGUGUCGUUCAACUUCCGACUCUCGUAGGCCACUGGGUGCCUUUCCUGCAUGAGCACCCCUUCAAUGGCAAAAUCCGAUGCGUUGGUGUGGACUUCAAAAGGAGUGGAAAAGUCCGGUAGCACAAGGACCGGCUCCACCAUGACCGCCUGCUUGAGACGAUCAAACGCCUCCUGACAUUGGUUUGACCACCGCCAUGGUCGAUCCUUCUUUAACAAAUCCGUCAGUGGGCACAUAACUUCGAAUAUUCGGUGAUGAACCUCCUAUAGUAAUUUGCCAAGCCAAGAAAAGAGCGUAAGUGUGUAACUCGUGUAGGUACCUCCCACUCGGCUAUGGCUGAAAUUUUUGAGGGAUCCAUCAUGAGCCUUCCAUCCCCAAUGAUGUGCCCGAGGAACGGCACCCUCCGUUGCGCAAACACACACUUCUCCCUUUUCACAAAAAGCUAGUGCUGCCGUAAGGUGGAGAAGACUUGCCUCAGGUGCGCCACAUGCUCAUCCAACGUCCAGCUAUACACAACAAUGUCAACCAAGUAUACUACCACGAAUUUAUCAAUAAAGUUAUGGAAUACAUGCCGCAUCAAAGUACAGAAAGUUGUUGGUGCGUUGGUGAGGCCAAAAGGCAUGACAAGGUACUCGAAGCUUCCAUACCUUGUCACACAUAUAGUCUUCUCAAUGUCCUCCUCCGCCACGCGGACCUGAUAGUACCCGCUGCGAAGAUCCAACUUGGUAAUCCAUCGUGCCUUACUAAGUUGAUCGAACAAAUCAUCAAUCCGUGAAAUGGGGUACUUAUUCUUCACCGUGAGCUUGUUGAGGGCCCUGUAGUCGAUGCAGAGUCUCAACGAACCAUCGUACUUCUUCUGAAAAAGUACCGGUGCUCCAUACGGACUCUUCGAAGGUCGAAUGAACCCGCUGUCCACCAACUCCGUUAGCUGCCUCCUUAGCUCCUGGAGUUCAGGUGGGGCCAUUCUAUAUGGUGCUUGAGCUGGUGGACAUGCUCCAUGUACCAAAUCAAUCCGAUGAUCGAUUUCUCUUUUUGGCGGCAAUCGCUUGGGUAACUCAAGGGGCAUCAUAUCCUCGAAUUCAGUGAGAACACCCUUGAUGGGUGCUGGAAUCUCCUCUCCUUCCGGUAGGUCUUCCUCCUGAAGGGACGCAAUAUAUGUUGGAAGUCCCCUUCUCAGCCCCUUAGCAAGUUGCAUCGCCAAUAGGACUCGUUGCGGAGUCCCUUUAAUUCGCUUUCCUAGAACUACGCAAGCUCCACUCGUAUUCAAGACUACCACCACAUCUGAAUCCGGCUUUACCAUGGCUUGUAGCUAGGUAAGCAAAGACAUACCGAUGACCACCUCGUAGUCGUCGAUCGGGGCAACCACCGCUGUCACCCAUCCGGUCCCUGCGCCGAAUUGGAUCUCAACAUCCUUUGAUGUUCCACUUGUAGCUAUCUCUGCGGAGUUGACCGCCUUGAAUGUGUGUUCAUCAUGUUCAAUCUUCAGAUUGAGCCUCUUCGUCGUAGCUAAGUUCACAAAGAAGUCAUUGGCACCCGUAUCAUUGAGUGCCUGGAAGAUGUGACCACCAAUGCUGAUAGGUGCAUAGAGCAAGCCUCGUGGCCUCUUGGCCUUCAGGGCGUUGAGACUGAGUGAGCCUAUCCUUUGGUCGGUCUCUUGCUUCUCCUCCACCGCCAUAGAUGCUAUCUUGCCCCUCAAUGGACAGUCCUUCACCUUGUGCGGUCCAUUGCAAAUAUAGCAUGAGAUAGUGCUGGUACCUUGCGCCACCCCUUUGCCCUUUGCUUGGGAAGUCCCUCCACUCGAGGAGCCUGGAUUCGAGCCUUUUGCACCUCCCUUGUGACCUGAUUUCGCUCCCCCACCUUUGCCCUAUUUCGAUGCUUGGGCUUUGGGAGUUGUAGGUUGAGUCUUGAACUCGAUGAGAGCCUCCGCUUGAGCUAUCGCCUCAUUCAAACUCUGGACUCCUCUUCACUGCAAUUCCACCUUGGCCCACGGUUUGAGCCUGUCAAGGAAGAUGAAGAGAGAGUCUUCGUUGCUGAGGUCUGGUACCUCCAACAACAAUUCGCUGAACUUUCGCACAUACUCACGCACAUCACCCUUUUGCGUGAGUCGCCGUAGUCGUGCUUGAGCAUCAUCCUUAGCGAACGUGGGAAAGAAUUGCUUCCGAAGUUCAAUUUGGAACUGUGCCCAAGUAGUGAUUGGAACAGCCCCUCGCUUCACAUCGUCAGCCCAACGUUGCCACCAAAGCAUUACCACAUCCCUCAAGAACAUGGCCGUCGUGCUCACCUUCAUGGCUUCCUCUCUCACGCUGGUAACCUGGAGGUAUUGUUCCACAGCGAAAAGGAAGUUAUCCACCUCCUUCGUGGACCGUUGUCCGUAGAACUCCUGCGGCUUGGGAACAUUAAGCUUGUGCAGGGGGUGUGUAGCCUCUCUUGCGACCUCCAUUGUCAAUGGAGAAGAGGAUACGCCUGUGAUGGUACUCUCAUUUAAAAGGUCAACCACCUGAUUUUGGAGAGCCUUCACCAUGAUCUCCAACUCCUCGUUAUGCCGCAACACUUCCUUAUAACGCCGCUCCAUAUCGAAGGAAAUCUGGUUCAGCUGAGCGGCGAUCUCACCUCGGAGGGUUGCGUCCCUACCCUCAAGGUCCUCCAUCCGCCCUUCAACCUCAGCUAUUUGGGCCUUGCACCUCCAUAAUCGAUUGUCGGCGGAGAUAACCGGAGAUGCAAUGCGUAACCCAUGUAGGGAAUCAUCAACUGGAUGUGCUCCACCCACCACCGUACCUCCUCCUGAGGCUGGAUUGGGAUCCACGGUCGAGGAUGAUGCGUCCGCCAUUCCCACCAUGGAAGUUACCGUAGAGGUCGUCUCCCUCAUUUUUGGUAUGGCUCUGAUACCAAGUGUCACAUACGAAGGGAUCUCAGAGCGGAUUCCAACAACGUGCGGCUCGGUCUACCGAAGAGAACCGAUCAGCCUUCCUGGUGUGGGAACCUAGUCUCUAUGACUUAGGUCAUGCCUAACAACAAUAAUGCAGCGAAGCACGACACCAGAAAAUGCCACGAAGGAAAAGGAGAAAUACAGGGGAAGAGAACUUUAUUGAAUGACCACUCAACUGAUUACAAUAAGCUCUCCUGGUCUCUCCAGCUCUACCUGAUACCAAUCCCUCCCCUUUUAAGGGUCCUCUUAUAGAGGAGCAACCUCCAAUUACAAGUUCCUCAUGAACUCCACUUUCCAUGUACAAGAUAAGGAUGAAUCCUAGAUAAGAUAGAAAAACCUCCAUUCCAGCAGGAUUCUACGCAAUCAGAUGAAACGGCCAAGUUCGUGCCCCAACCGAACUCAGAUUACCACGAAACUGGAUUCGUUGGAUUUGGGACAAAAAAUCCUUCCAGAUGGCAUCUUUUCCACUUUGAACGGACUUUUGUAGAGUUUCCGAAAUGCCCCUCAACGUGAGAACCUGUGGAAACAGCGUUACAACCACGUUUUCUAACCAUAUAUCUUUCAGUUAUGAAAACGUGUUAAAACGUGUUCCUUGCCUUCUGGAGACUUAUGCCACGUACCUCCAUCAGUGGCACACAUUUCCAUGCAUCCCAAUUUUUCGGAUUCAAUCCAUGCUUCGAGAUAAGCCCACAACACUGAAUCAGACUCGUUGCAGCAGCUUUCCUCCUAAUGAUGAACUAGCAUGUAUUCUUGCCAAUACACGCCUUGGAGCACGUGCCCCGGCCCCCAUGCUCUUGGGUAUUACUCCUAGAUCUUGCACACAUUUUUCUAGGUGAUCCUAGGGCCCAGAUUUGGUCUCCAAGUUGCCCAAAUCUCCAGAAAGCACGGUCAGACCUCGAACCCGUCCAGC
rnacentral:lncRNA from 1 species